AUUGAACGCUGGCGGCAGGCCUAACACAUGCAAGUCGAACGAGUGGCGGACGGGUGAGUAAUGUCUGGGAAACUGCCUGAUGGAGGGGGCUAACUACUGGAAACGGUAGCUAAUACCGCAUACCAUCGGAUGUGCCCAGAUGGUAUUAGCUAGUAGGUGGGGUAAAGGCUCACCUAGGCGACGAUCCCUAGCUGGUCUGAGAGGAUGACCAGCCACACUGGAUCUGGGCCACGGUCCAGGAUCCUACGGGGGGCAGCAGUGGGAAAUAUUGCACAAUGGGCGCAAGCCUGAUGCAGCCAUGCAGCGUGUAUGAAGAAGGCCUUCGGGUUGUAAAGUACUUUCAGCGGGGAAGCGUUACCCGCAGCAGAAGCACCGGCUAACUCCGUGCCAGCAGCCGCGGUAAUAC
rnacentral:rRNA from 1 species